ensembl:misc_RNA 7SK 7SK RNA
GGAUGUGAGGGUGACCUGGCUGUGACAUCUGUCACCCCACUGAUCUCCAGGGUUGAAUCCGCUGAUCUGGCCGGCUAGGCCGGUGUCCCCUUCCUCCCUCACCGCUCCAUAGCCCUCCCGAAACUGCGGCGCUCUGCAGGAGAGGACAGAGGAGGACCAUUUCCUUGGUCACGGGUAUAUGAGUAGCUGCACUCCCCGGCUAGAACCUCCAACCAUGUUCUGAGGUAAUAGCUUUCUUUAAUGCAUGUGAUUUAGAGACAGCAUUUUGGAAGUGGUUACCUGAAUUAUUUAUAUUUAGUGUAUUUUUUUUACAGAAAUUAUGUUACA